AGUAAAUGAAAGGGAUAGGAAACUUCCGUUGCGUGGGCGGAUUAUUUCAUUAAGAUUAUUAGGUUGCCUAGCAACAUAGGCAAGUUACCCUUCCCGGGCCUUUUCCUUCACUGUUCGGCGUCCUAUUUCAACUCAUAACUCUAAAGUGACUUGUGAUCGUCCUCUGCAAUGAUAAUUAAAGGCAUUACAGAUACCUCCCUUACAGUCUGUCUAAUUUUUGAAGUAAAGUAAUAUUGAUAACUAUGGAAUACAAAAGAAGUAAUACCAGAAUUAACUAUUACCAACUAUUUUAUACAUUAUUAUGGAGGGCACGCAACAUAAAUGACUCCGAUGACAGAUUUGGUGACUGAUUUAUAAUCAAUUCAAAGUUUUUGCAAAGACCUUCGUUUUGUACCUUUUUCUUUACAGCUCAAUGAUUGGCACAUUUAAAUGUGAUAUGAAAGCAAA